rnacentral:rRNA from 1 species
UACGAAGGGGGCUAGCGUUGUUCGGAAUCACUGGGCGUAAAGGGCGCGUAGGCGGCUUUGUAAGUCGGGGGGUGAAAGCCUGUGGCUCAACCACAGAAUUGCCCUUCGAUACUGCAUGGCUUGAGACCGGAAAGAGGUAAGUGGAACUGCGAGUGUAGAGGUGAAAAUUCGUAGAUUAUUCGCAAAGAACACCAGUGGCGAAGGCGGCUUACUGGUCCGGUUCUGACGCUGAGGCGCGAAAGCGUGGGGAGCAAACAGG